ensembl:lncRNA
CACCACUUCCAGCUCUAAUACAUAUAAAAAAAAAAAAAAUCUCUACAUUUUCUGGUUGGUUGAUCCUCAGUCCGUCACAUCUUUUAUAUAAAGGAAAUGCUGAUCGUAGGUCGUCUCCUUCGCAUGGAACCGAGUAUCCUGAGUCAGCGCGGGGUUAAGCAGCUUACAGCCUCCCUUCAUCUGUAUGGAUAUGUAUCUACCAACCACCCAUUAAUCUCUCGGGACGGGAUUCAAUUCAGUCAUAUUCUCAAUGCAGCAAAAAGAAGUGCGUCGCUAAAUUACGUAACACCACUGUUGUACAACUCAAUGAUUUAUUGUAUUCUCGGUUGCUGCCACAUGUUGUGCAAGACAAAGACAAAUCCCUCCGGUCAGUUUAAUGUCAAAGCGGAUCAAUAACUAGGAAAUCCAACGAUAUGCCAUGAAGACACAGGAGCUAAAUUAACUCUGGUACGGAGCUGAAAGGCUGAGUUGAGUGAAGCAGUGUGUUUCUCUGUCUACUCGUCCGUGAGCUUGAAGCAAUGAGAGACUUGUCAUAGCAUUUUUUUUAUUUUUUAUUAUUUUCUGUCAACUUUAUAAAAUCAUUUUGGUGCGUUGUGGUUUGUUCCCAACCCCCUGGAGCCAGUGAAUCGAAUCCACCUCUAAAACAGUAGCCUUCAUGAGGAUAGAAGGCCGUAUCGGGUUAAGAGGGGAGAACCUAAUACAGCUCUGACAUCCAUGCAGAUCUCUCCCUGUAGGUGUAAACCCAUCACAGCAUCUUCCACAGUGACGACUCGCGCACGUGUGAAAGAGAGAGCGCUGCUCUUCCCGGCGACGAGUGCGAAAGCUUCCAGCUUCACUGACGAGUCAGACACAUUCUCCCCGUCUCGUACCUGCCUCUUGAAACAGCAUAAUGUACCUACCGAACCUUCAGCUGAGCGUGUGUGUGUGUGUAGUGUAAGUGAGAGAUGGUGCUGUACUCGGUGAGGGAAACAAAGUGUUGCAAAUUACUGAACGCUUGGGCCUCCGUCGUCGUCUGGAUGGCAGCAUCCCAGCAUGAAGCCAGUGAAGGAGGAAAUACUCUGUGCUCCUAAUGGACCUAUAAAACCCGUCAGACUGAUGCCCCCCCCCC